rnacentral:rRNA from 1 species
UACGUAGGCAGCAAGCGUUGUUCGGAGUUACUGGGCGUAAAGGGUGCGUAGGCGGCUUUUAAGUUUGGUGUGAAAUCUCCCGGCUCAACUGGGAGGGUGCGCCCGAAUACUGAGAGGCUAGAGUGUGGGAGAGGGAAAGUGGAAUUCCUGGUGUAGCGGUGAAAUGCGUAGAUAUCAGGAGGAACACCGGUGGUGUAAACGGCUUUCUGGACCAUAACUGACGCUGAUGCACGAAAGCGUGGGUAGCAAACAGG